rnacentral:rRNA from 1 species
UACGGAGGGAGCUAGCGUUGUUCGGAAUUACUGGGCGUAAAGCGCACGUAGGCGGCUUUGUAAGUUAGAGGUGAAAGCCCGGAGCUCAACCUCGGAAUUGCCUUUAAGACUGCAUCGCUUGAAUCCGGGAGAGGUGAGUGGAAUUCCGAGUGUAGAGGUGAAAUUCGUAGAUAUUCGGAAGAACACCAGUGGCGAAGGCGGCUCACUGGACCGGUAUUGACGCUGAGGUGCGAAAGCGUGGGGAGCAAACAGG